UAUCACCAUUGUAAGUUAACGUUAUAUGUCAACUAAAAACUAAUAUCACAUCGUGUGCGUUUCUGAAAAAGUACAGGAAUAAUAUAAGAAUUAAAUGUGUUUAAACCAACGUCAACACACUACGACGCCGCAUUAAGAUAAAUUGAAACCAAGGAUGCGGACGUGUCUGUGGCGUUACAGCGAUACGUAUGACUGAACUUCAGCGGCCCUCUUGAAAGUUGCGGUGGCUAAAUGAAAAAUUGUCCGCUUUCAUCCAAACUCUCGUGGCCUUUCUGGCCUCUCCAGCAGGGUGGAGACUUGUGAUAAACAGAAUGUGAUGUUAAGGACUGACAGCUUUAGUCCGACAAGCGACAAGUUAAUCUUGUGUUCUACCAA